CACAUUUAAUUCAUAGCGAAGACGUCACCCAGCCCCACGUCACUGUAUUUUGUCGCGAAUUUCAAGCUCCUGGAAUGCUCCUGAUGCAGGACGAAUACAAGGUCAUUAUAGAUCUCCCAGGCAUAUGCAGUCCUCCUGCAGUAUGCCACAUAAUGCCCGAGAGAAUCCUGGGUCAGUCCUGGUUCAAAGCCAAUGACUGCUCUCAAAGUAAAGGUCUUCUCUUUUAGCUCCAGACUGGAGGGAAAUUCAAGCAAGGCAACUUCCUUGCAACUGCUACCAAGAGUUUUGAAUGAAGACGGACACCGGGAAGGAUUUUUGGCGUUCAGUGAAUCAUUCAAUUUGUCAUUUAUUUAAUACUAAUUUAUUUUCUAGAGAUGUCAAAUCCUUACUCCAUGGAUUGUUAAUUAACCAUUUGUUUGUGCCAUUGCAAUUUUUCUUUAUUAAAAUCAUGCAUCUUCAUU